rnacentral:hammerhead_ribozyme from 15 species
GUGGUGUAUAAGAAUUAUUGCCUUACUGAUGAGUCCAGUAGUGGAAACCGGGACGAAACGCCAA